GACGAACGCUGGCGGCGUGCUUAACACAUGCAAGUCGAGCGGUAAGGCCCUUUCGGGGGUACACGAGCGGCGAACGGGUGAGUAACACGUGGGUGACCUGCCCUCAGCUCUGGGAGUAAGACCUGGGAAACUGGGUCUAAUACUGGAUAUGACUCCACGGUGCAUGUCGUGGGGUGGAAAGCCUUGUGCGGCUGAGGAUGGGCCCGCGGCCUAUCAGCUUGUUGGUGGGGUGANGGCCUACCAAGGCGACGACGGGUAGCCGGCCUGAGAGGGCGACCGGCCACACUGGGACUGAGACACGGCCCAGACUCCUACGGGAGGCAGCAGUGGGGAAUCUUGCGCAAUGGGCGAAAGCCUGACGCAGCGACG
rnacentral:rRNA from 1 species